rnacentral:rRNA from 1 species
UACGAAGGGGGCUAGCGUUGUUCGGAAUCACUGGGCGUAAAGGGCGCGUAGGCGGCCGUUCAAGUCGGGGGUGAAAGCCUGUGGCUCAACCACAGAAUUGCCUUCGAUACUGUACGGCUCGAGACCGGAAGAGGUAAGUGGAACUGCGAGUGUAGAGGUGAAAUUCGUAGAUAUUGGGAAGAACACCGGUGGCGAAGGCGACCAACUGGUCCGACAUUGACACUGAGGCACGAAAGCGUGGGUAGCAAACAGG